UACGGGGGGGAGCAAGCGUUUGUUCGGAUUUACUGGGGCGUAAAGCGUGCGCAGGCGGUUCUAUAAGACAGAUGUGAAAUCCCCGGGCUCAACCUGGGAACUGCAUUUGUGACUGUAGAGCUGGAGUGCGGCAGAGGGGGAUGGAAUUCCGCGUGUAGCAGUGAAAUGCGUAGAGAUGUGGAGGAACACCGAUGGCGAAGGCAGCCCCCUGGGUCAAGACUGACGCUCAUGCACGAAAAGCGUGGGGAGCAAACAGG
rnacentral:rRNA from 1 species